rnacentral:rRNA from 1 species
ACGGAGGGUGCGAGCGUUGUUCGGAAUCAUUGGGCGUAAAGGGCGUGUAGGUGGUCUGUUAAGUCAUGUGUGAAAGCCCUCAGCUUAACUGGGGAAGUGCGCAUGAAACUGACAGGCUAGAGUACCGAAGAGGAAGGUGGAAUUCCCGGUGUAGCGGUGAAAUGCGUAGAGAUCGGGAGGAACACCAGUGGCGAAGGCGGCUACCUGGACCAGCACUGACACUGAGGCACGAAAGCGUGGGGAGCAAACAGGA